AUGUGUGUACAUUGGAGCGGGGACUUGGCGAAAAACCCCGAAGGCGCUGCUGGAGAUGGUGGUGGAGCGCCCUACUCGUCCUUCGGGUCACCGGUGGCGGGGCCUGCUUGCCGAGGUCCGUCAACCGACGCGCGGGCGCAUGGCGUGCUGCUGGUGAUGCUUGUUGCAUGCACACGCGAGGAGGAAGGAGAGGAGACCGGUUCAGUAGUGAGGAGGAUGGAGGGGAGGCCCGGGCAGCGCAUGGGGCUACUGUUGCUGCUCCGGCAAGCAGGCAGCGGGUUGAGGCACUCGGGAUCCAGCGUCCAGAUCAAGCGGGGCGAGGGAGCUGCAGCCGGGAGGCUUAGGCGAUGGGCAGAGAGGCGUGACGAGGCGGAGCAAGGGCCGGCGACGAGGCAAGGCGACGAAGGGAGCCUGCGAGGGAGGAGAGGGAGACGAGCGCAGGGAGAUGGGCGGCUCUGGUCCGUCGUCCGAGUCGCGGAGGACGGUGGGGAGGCAUCACAGGCGUGCUGGUCAGGAGCUCGAGGUGACCGGGUUGGAGAAGGAGGGCAAGGUAGGGAGGACGAGGGGGAGAGGGAAAGAGGUGGCGGCGCUAUGGACCAGGGAGGACGACGGCUGCGGGCGCGGGGCCUCGCUUCUCCCCCAGGCGAUGCAAGGAAGAAGGAGGGGAUCGAGGGAGCUGCGAGCGAGAGAGGUGGGGAUCGAGCGUGGUGGCGGCGCUGGGACUGGGAGAAAGAGGCUGCGAGGGAGAGAUGA
rnacentral:rRNA from 1 species